UGUCAGUAAUUUUGCAUUUCUCCUGCUAUUCUGAAACACGUGUGAGCUGCAACACCCACGCCUACUCUCCAACAGUUUCCAUCCUGUCCAGUGAUCCUGCAGUGAAGUCCUAAUCCUGUUUGUGGACUGCAAUCUGUUACUAUGGAAAUGAGUGAUGUCACAAAUUCAACAUUACCACCUCACUGCAGGACCAUGGGUAAAGAUCAAAAGACUAUUUAGAAGAGAACAGCAGUUAGACUUUGGUAUUAAAUGGAUUUAAUUAUUCAGCUAAAAAAAAAUCAAACCGGCAAGGCCAAAUUUAGCUGCACAAGAACUGGAAAGUGACAGUUAAGAGUCUCACAGCAACAUGUGCAUUGUGGGCAAUUUAAUUCCUUCAUGUUUUUUAACCUCAAGAAUGAAGGGUGCAAUUAGUGACACAUGGAAGUUGGUGGAGUCAGAAGCAAGGAGAAGGGGAGGGCCAGGAUAGCGGGAUCUAGCGGCUCCCGAUUCACCUCUGCAAAGACAAAGCCUGGGAUUCAUUCAAGAAGAAGAUGGGGGAAAUGCAUUCACAUUUUUAAACCCAAUAUGCUUUCCAGCUAACCACAGUGCUUUUAGUUGCAUUCUUGCUAUUAAACAUUGAUUUGAGAUACUUGCCCUAACAGA